rnacentral:rRNA from 1 species
AACGAACGCUGGCGGCAGGCCUAACACAUGCAAGUCGAGCGAGGACUUCGGUCCUAGCGGCGGACGGGUGAGUAACGCGUGGGAACGUGCCCUUUGCUACGGAAUAGCCCCGGGAAACUGGGAGUAAUACCGUAUGUGCCCUUCGGGGGAAAGAUUUAUCGGCAAAGGAUCGGCCCGCGUUGGAUUAGGUAGUUGGUGGGGUAAUGGCCUACCAAGCCGACGAUCCAUAGCUGGUUUGAGAGGAUGAUCAGCCACACUGGGACUGAGACACGGCCCAGACUCCUACGGGAGGCAGCAGUGGGGGAUCUUAGACAAUGGGGGAAACCUUGAUCUAGCCAUGCCGCGUGAGCGAUGAAGGCCUUAGGGUUGUAAAGCUCUUUCAGUGGGGAAGAUAAUGACGGUACCCACAGAAGAAGCCCCAGCUAACUCCGUGCCAGCCGCCGCAGUAACAC